rnacentral:rRNA from 1 species
UACGUAGGGUGCGAGCGUUGUCCGGAAUUAUUGGGCGUAAAGAGCUUGUAGGCGGUUUGUCGCGUCUGCUGUGAAAAUCCGGGGCUCAACCCCGGACUUGCAGUGGGUACGGGCAGACUAGAGUGUGGUAGGGAGACUGGAAGUUCCUGGUGUAGCGGUGAAAUGCGCAGAUAUCAGGAGGAACACCAAUUGCGAAGGCAGCUCGCUGGGACGUUACUGACGCUGAGACGCGAAAGCGUGGGGAGCAAACAGG